rnacentral:lncRNA from 1 species
CAAGGUGCCUGUGCAUUGUUACGGAGCAAUAAAACAUAUGCAUACAUGAAUUGAAUAUGCCUUCCUAUUUCACAAUUCCUUACAAAUUGAACAUCGUGAGUCCAAAAUUAAAACAAACAAAACCGGUAACUGAGAUGUGAUAAUAAUCCACAAGGGACAUGUCCAUAAUGCUUAACAAGCUACAUAUCUUCAACAAUUUGCUUAGAUGAUAUAAAGCGAUCUUCAUACUAUAAUGUUGCUCCUAAAUUUGAUUGAUAAUCCUGAAUUUUAGCCCUACCUUCUUCCUCAUUGAUUUAACCUGCUCAUUCUCAAAAUCAGACAAAGGAUAGUUGAAUGUAAAUGACUGAAACCAAGUUACAAGAAGACGAACAAAUUUAAAAUGCUCAGUUGCGUUCAGGUUGUAGCAUUCAACCUAAGCAAUGAUGCCAGCACGCGAAGCAAUCAAGUUGCUGAUCUAGAAAAGAAGUGAAAAGUUAACCUUUCAUGCCCCUGAUCUAGCAUGCAAAAUUGUUGCACAGGGGUCACCACCGGUAGCCAGAAGAAUUAUGUCAGCAGCCUCAUCAUCGUACUGCUCAUACAUGAGAUGUGAAAAGGUAUAGAAAUCCACAAAUUCUACUAAAAAAUCUGCAAGCACAAGCUUUUACAUGGCCAGUUACUCACUUGGAGGAAGACUGCACGAGCGAAGUCAAUGCCAAAAGAGAUGAUCACCUUGUACAGGUCCCUCUGCAACUAACUAAAAAUCUUGGAAAUAUCAUUUUUACCAGAAUUCUCAUGUACAACAGGAAGUCUCUAGUUCUUACCAGAAGGAACAUAACUGCCUUUUCAUUUCCCACUCAUGAUCGCAUAGCAGACACAGGCUCAACCAAGCUUUCUGAAAACUGCAGGAAGGAUGAGCAUAAUCAGCAAUUUCAGUCAGGCGAGCACAAAUGUAUACUUCAGUAGUAAACCACUGCCAAGAAAACAUAAUAAAUGCAUCAACCACAACCGAAUUUUGUAUUCACCAUUUUCUAUCUUCAAUUUUAAAAGAGAAUUCAUUGCCACAAUGGGAUGGGGCAUGCUUUCCUUUAACACUAUCUGACACUGCCGUACGAGAUUCUUUGGUACUAUAUAUUAAAAGACCAAUCUUAAAAUAAUAUAUGCAAAUAAAAAAGAACAAAACUAUGCAACAUGAUGUUCAAACUUCUGAACAAUAACAUUUACCAGUUCAUUUGGUCCAGAGGCCCCUCAACCAAAUGAAAACAAACAAAAUAAAUAAUUUGCACAGUGUCGUGUUCGGGAAACAUCGAGCAUGGACUCAUGUCGAGGAAAAUUAAAAGAUUGGGGGCGCAGUGGGUGAACUGAGUCGAGGAAGAUGGAUGAAUUCGACCACGUUGGUAUCCGGAGGGAACUGACCACGGGAUCUCCUGCCCUGUGUCUGUGCAGUAUAUUAAACUGGAAAAUAGAAAGAAGUAAACCAAAUGCUGCAACUGUACGUAUUUAAUAGAGUUUGUGGAAGUGUAGUUAAAAGUAGACAGCUCGCAAACUGAGCUGUACAGCUAGCUAGCCUGAAACUCAAACACUGUAUCAUCCAUCAACAACAUUAUGAAAAGAUUAAUUAAAGAUGUAAAGGGCAUAUUUGUGCACAUACCACCAACGCAGAAUCAACCAUUAGACCUCACUAUAUACCAUCCAGAUAAAUGACUCCAUCAUUUAACUAUAACAUGUCGUGCAUGAGACGCAGUCUUGUAAUAUUAGGGUGUCUAUUUAUGUACCUACGAGAGUGUCUGUUUCUGUACCUUGGUGAUGAUGUCGAGGAUGGCGGUGAGCUUCCGAUGCGCCUGCUGCAAGCUCUCCAUGAGGCAUUGCCACGGCCAGGCCCUGCUAAGCGGUGUCCUCAGGCCUUGUCUUCUUGACGCCCCCCUUGAUAAGCCAGAAGUCGAUGCAGCGGAUCUCGAAGAUCUUCAAUCCCUUUGGAGGUGAGGGCGAGGACCAGGACGAUGAGGGUCUUGCGGGACGAGAUUCACGCACGGCGAGGGAGGCGGCAUCCGGAUCCAGGCUGGGAUUUCAAGUCGCUUGUGCAAGGACACCCAAGUCGUGUAUACGAUGGAGGUCAUCCGAAUCCCAGCAUCAACUCUCGCGAUGAAGACCUCCUCCGGCGUGCCAGAUCGGCUCGAUCUCGCCGGCGUGCGCGCGAGAUGGAGGGAGAGCAGGUGGUCGGCGGCAGCGAGCGUGAGAGCACAGGGGAUGGAUCGGUGGUGGCGGCGGGCGCUCGAGAGGGAGAGAGAGCAGGGGAGGCGCGGUGGGUGAGGAAGCACGAAAAAGGGGCGAGGGGUGGGAGGAUGGUCCAGAGAUUUUUUUUUGCCGUGCGAGAGCAAGAGGUUCGACGAAAGUCGGGGCAGGACGGGGUCCGUGGCAGGAAAAGAACCUUAUGUAUUUUUAUUUUAUUUUAUUUUAUUUAGAAUCGAACAUUAUGUAUUUAGAUGGUAGAGAAAACAUUUGAGAAGAAUAUAUUUUUGAUUUUUUACCGUAGAAAUUGUUGCAAAGAUCGACAGUCUGAUUUAAUUUGUCGUGCGCAAGCAGCUAGCUACACUUUUGUGCUUUUGUUUGUUGAUGUCGAUAUGUACAACAAGCAAAAAAAUUCAAGCAAUGAUCCUGAGUCGAAAAAUGCAUCGCUGCAGAACU